GCCGACCGGGUGUUCCGCGGCGUGCUGCGCUGCGCUGGCGUCGCGGUUCUGGUCAUCACCGGUCUGAUCGCGCUGUUCCUGAUCCUGCGGGCCGGCG
rnacentral:tRNA from 1 species